UACGAACCGAGCGAACGUUGUUCGGAAUCACUGGGCUUAAAGGGCGCGUAGGCGGCCUGCCAAGUCAGGAGUGAAAUCUUUCGGCUCAACCGGAAAAGUGCUUUUGAUACUGGCGGGCUAGAGGGAGAUAGGGGCAUGUGGAACUUCCGGUGGAGCGGUGAAAUGCGUUGAUAUCGGAAGGAACGCCGGUGGCGAAAGCGACGUGCUGGACCUCUUCUGACGCUGAGGCGCGAAAGCCAGGGGAGCGAACGGG
rnacentral:rRNA from 1 species